GGUCACCACUGAAAUGAAAACGAUCAAAUUUUAUGUAUUUAUUGUGUGAAAUGGAUAUGGGUUUUGGAUAUUAUAGGGAAGUAUCAAUUUUAUCAUGAGCUUAUAUGAGAUUAUCUUGCCUAAUGUCAUGUAACUUUUUAAUUAUUUUCAGCAAAAAAAUGAUGUCCUACCUCCACAAGAGAAGACACUGAUAUCGAAGGGCAUAAAUCUUCCCAAAAAGUCUGAAAAUCAACAUGACAAUAGGUUUCUUUGUGCAAAAGCCAGCCCCUUGAUCACAUUAUUGAUGUAUAGGAUGAGAUGGAAAAAAGAUCGAGUGGAAUUGAGUUUAAAACAUAAGAGAAGGAUCUUAGGGCACUUAAGAAAAUACAUGAAGCAGUGAUGAACAAAGAAUAAGAACGAUCGUUGUUCGGACGUCUACAAAAGGUAUCGAAGGUCAAGGGGAUAAACCAUUACCGGAAAGUCAAGUCAAUAUAGAGGAUUUUCGAAGAGAGGGACCAAAGGUGCCAAAAUGUGGAACAUGGGAGGCUUGAAAGACAAGAAAAUAAUAAAUUCACGAUAAACACUCAAUUCACGACGUGGCGAUGAAGCUCACGAUGUGGCACGGGUGUUCCAGAAGAUAGACAUCGCGACGGGGAGGAUUUCCUUGAAGGAUACGGAUUGCUUGAAGCCCACGACGUGGCGCAUUUGGCCACGACGUGGCGCGGGUUUUUGAGGAUUAUAUAAGUCCUCCUGAUUAUUACGAAAAGGAGAAGCUUUUGGCAGAAGAAAAGAGUUCCAGGAGACGAUUAAGAGCGAAAGAAAGGUUCUGGAAGAGGGUUUUCAACACCAAAAGGAGUAA